CUGGCUCAGGACGAACGCUGGCGGCGUGCCUAACACAUGCAAGUCGAGCGGGGACAUUGCGACGGACAUGAAGAUUUCGGUUGGAUUGAAAGAUGUAAUGUUCUAGCGGCGGACGGGUGAGUAACGCGUGAGCAACCUGUCCCUUACAGGGGGAUAACACAGCGAAAGUUGUACUAAUACCGCAUAAGACCACAGGAUGACAUCGUCCAGGGGUCAAAGGAGCAAUCCGGUAAGGGGUGGGCUCGCGUCCGAUUAGAUAGUUGGUGAGGUAACGGCCCACCAAGUCGACGAUCGGUAGCCGACCUGAGAGGGUGAUCGGCCACAUUGGGACUGAGACACGGCCCAAACUCCUACGGGAGGCAGCAGUGGGGAAUAUUGGGCAAUGGGGGAAACCCUGACCCAGCAACGCCGCGUGAGGGAAGAAGGUUUUCGGAUCGUAAACCUCUGUCCUUGGUGAAGAGGAAGAGACGGUAGCCAAGGAGGAAGCCCCGGCUAACUACGUGCCAGCAGCCGCGGUAAUACGUAGGGGGCGAGCGUUGUCCGGAAUGAUUGGGCGUAAAGGGCGCGUAGGCGGCCCGGUAAGUCUGGAGUGAAAGUCCUGCUUUUAAGGUGGGAAUUGCUUUGGAUACUGUCGGGCUUGAGUGCAGGAGAGGUAAGUGGAAUUCCCAGUGUAGCGGUGAAAUGCGUAGAGAUUGGGAGGAACACCAGUGGCGAARGCGACUUACUGGACUGUAACUGACGCUGAGGCGCGAAAGUGUGGGGAGCAAACAGGAUUAGAUACCCUGGUAGUCCACACUGUAAACGAUGAAUGCUAGGUGUAGGGGGUAUCGACCCCUUUCUGUGCCGCAGUUAACACAAUAAAGCAUUCCGCCUGGGGGAGUACGGCCGCAAAGGUUGAAAACUCAAAAGGAAUUGACGGGGGGCCCGCACAAAGCAGCGGAGCAUGUGGUUUAAAUUCGACGCAACGCGAAGAACCUUACCAGGUCUUGACAUCCAGUAAAAAGCCAUAGAGAUAUGGUGUGUGCUUGCACAUACUGAGACAGGUGGUGCAUGGUUGUCGUCAGCUCGUGUCGUGAGAUGUUGGGUUAAGUCCCGCAACGAGCGCAAACCCUUAUUUUCAGUUACUAACGGGUAAAGCCGA
rnacentral:rRNA from 1 species